CACUGAAUUUCCUAGGGGGCGUCAAAGCCUACCGAAGAAUAUCAAACUGCGAAUGGCGGACAGAUGAUGCCAGGGAGUCAGACUGCACGAGAUAAGUUGGGUGGUCAAAAGGGAAAGAGCCCAGACCUACAGCUAAGGUCCCAAAGUGUGUGUUAAGUGGAAAAGGAUGUGGGAUUUCGAAGACAACUAGGAUGUUGGCUCAGAAGCAGCCACACAUUAAAAGAGUGCGUAAUAGCUCACUAGUCGAGAGGUCCUGCGCCGAAAAUGUCCGGGGCUAAAACACAACACCGAAGCUUAGGAAUUCUUUUGAAUUGGUAGAGGAGCAUUGAAGACGGAACGAAGCCAUACCGGAAGGAAUGGUGGACUGUCUUGAAGAGAGAAUGCCGGAAUGAGUAGCGAGAUUGAAGUGAGAAUCUUCAAGGCCGAAUAUCUAAGGUUUCCAGGGUAAAGCUGAUCUGCCCUGGGUAAGUCGGGGCCUAAGGCAAGGUCGAAAGACGUAGUCGAUGGAUAACAGGUUGAAAUUCCUGUACUGCAUCAAAUCAGAAAUGUGGGGACACAUGAGGGAAGCAUGAGCCGGAAAAGGAAAGUCCGGUACAAGCGCAGCAGAGGACAGAUAGGCAAAUCCGUCUGUCAACUCGAGGGCGCGAUGUGGAGCGAACCAAAGUAGCGAAGCAUGUGGAGCUUGUGUCGAGAAAAGCCGCUAUAGUGUUUGAUGUACCCGUACCGUAAACCGACACAGGUGGAUGAGGAGAGAAUCCUAAGGCCGGCGGGAGAAGCAUUGUUAAGGAACUCGGCAAAAUGACCCCGUAACUUCGGGAGAAGGGGUGCUCCAGAGAUGGAGCCGCAGAGAACUGGCCCAAGCAACUGUUUAGCAAAAACACAGGUCUAUGCAAAACCGAAAGGUGAGGUAUAUGGGCUGACGCCUGCCCGGUGCUGGAAGGUUAAGAGGAGAUGUUAGCCGUAAGGUGAAGCAUUGAAUUUAAGCCCCAGUAAACGGCGGCCGUAACUAUAACGGUCCUAAGGUAGCGAAAUUCCUUGUCGGGUAAGUUCCGACCCGCACGAAAGGCGUAAUGAUUUGGGCACUGUCUCGACAAUGCACCCGGUGAAAUUGAAAUACCAGUGAAGAUGCUGGUUACCUGCGCCAGGACGGAAAGACCCCAUGGAGCUUUACUCUAGCUUGAUACUGGGGUUCGGUAUUGCAUGUACAGGAUAGGUG
rnacentral:rRNA from 1 species